rnacentral:rRNA from 1 species
CCUACGGGAUGCAGCAGUGAGGAAUAUUUGUCAAUGGGCGUAAGCCUGAACCAGCCAAGUCGCGUGAGGGAUGAAGGUUCUAUGGAUCGUAAACCUCUUUUAUAAGGGAAUAAAGUUUGGGACGUGUCCUAUUUUGUAUGUACCUUAUGAAUAAGGAUCGGCUAACUCCGUGCCAUCAGCCGCGGUAAUACGGAGGAUGCGACCGUUGUCCGGAUUUAUUUGGUUAAAAGGGUGCGCAGGCGGAAUGUCAAGUGAGCGGUAAAAUUUCGGGGCUCAACCCCGUCGUGCCGUUGAAACUGGCGGUCUUGAGUGAGCGAGAAGUAUGCGGAAUGCGUGGUGUAGCGGUGAAAUGCAUAGAUAUCACGCAGAAUUCCGAUGGCGAAGGCAGCAUACUGGCGCUCAACUGACGCUCAUGCACGAAAGCGUGGGUAUCGAACAGGAUUAGAUACCCGAGUAGUC